rnacentral:tRNA from 1 species
GCCCGCGUGGUGGAAUGGUAGACACAGGGGACUUAAAAUCCCCAGCCUUCGGGCGUGCGGGUUCGAGUCCCGCCGCGGGUACCA